rfam:Schistosoma mansoni strain Puerto Rico chromosome 7, complete genome
AUCCAGCUGACGAGUCCCAAACAGGACGAAACGCGCAUCCUGGAU